UCUUGUGAGCCGCCCGCUCCUUCUGUGCUGCCGAACGGCUGCGCCAACACGAGCUGCCGCCACCGCCUGUCGAUACUCCACUCCGCCGCCGCUCCAGUCGCCCGUCGCCGCCCGCUCCAGUAAGCCUCUGCCGCCCACUCCUUCUGUGCUGCCCAAGGAAUGUGCCAGCAUGGGCUGCCGUCGCCACCCACCGAUCCUCCACUCUGCCGCCGCUCCAAUCGCCCGUCGCCGCCCGUCGAGUCGGCAUCUGCCGCCGACCCUCCGCUCCUCCGCCGGCGCUGCUCAACUCGGCUUCCGUCGCCAUCGACUCUCUUAUCCCCCACUUCUACGCUGGCCAUCUAUACGGUGAGGCCCUCGCCAUCAAGCCAGGCAAAUUUCACCCUCUCUGUAUCUCUCUGAUCCUCCAAAUUGAUGCUUGUGAUUUGUUCUCUCGGUAUCUCAUGAGGUCCAUUAUAUGUUCCUUCCACACAAGAAAAAUUCAUUGCUGACUUGAUUAUAAGAAAUUUCCACUCUUUGGAUAUAGGUCUGAAUUUUAAUAGAAAUUUCCACUCUUUGAAUAUGGGUAUGAAAUUUUCACCAGCGUUGCUUUGUGCUAGCAGCUUUCCUUUCCAUAUAUGUCUACAUUUGUAGAUUCUGGAACCAACCAUUCUUGCGUGUGCAAUGUCUCAUUCUUCGUUCUUUUGAUUUAAUUGGUAAUGGUAAGUUGGAUUAGAUUUUCAGAUUCAGACUCUACUUACGCUUGCCUUAGCCAUCAGAUUAGCAUUGGGUCGCUUAUUGUUUUUGUUCGGACUCUAAAAUGUUUUUUGUGUGAUCAUAACUUCUGCUAAAUUCGGGUCAGUAGAGAGCUAGCCGAACUAGCUUAUAUUAGGCUACACGUGCAUUCCACAAGUUUGUUACUUAUGCAAUCAGAGAUCGGUUGAUUUGAUACCUACGCACAUACAGAUACAUGUCAUUAAUGCAAUGAGACAAAGCUAAUACAAUCUACUUCUACAUUUUUGUUUCAUGAAAUGACUACACAAUGAUAUAGAAGAUAGUGUGUGUACAAAAAUAAUCAUAACGUCAAUGUGUCCGUAACAUUAGGAAAGUCAAUUUAGUACCUGGUAUAUGAGGCCCAGUAUAUGAUCCUUCCACGCAAGACAAAUUGAUGCGUGUGAUUCUUCUCUUUCUGUAUAAUCAUAUAGUUCAUGGCCGAGAGUGGUCAUCUUAGUGCAUGAUGUUCUGCAUACACCGCAAUGCCAAAGUAGCAUUGUUGUGGGAUAAUAGCCAUGGAACUAGCAGUAAAAGGUGAAUUAUCAUGAUCCACGACAAUGCCAAACGCAGCAUUAAAAGGGUUACAGUCUGAUUUUUGAGUUAUUUUUAAUAAGCUCUUAAUAUAGUUGACAAAAUUCAUUGUGUUGUUGAAAUUGCCUUUUAAAUGUUGUCUGGAAUCUGCACUUUCCCGCAAUGCCACAACGGACUGCUCAAGUGGCAAGAAAAAUACCUUUGAACUUUUCGAGGAUGUUUUCAAUGAUCUACUAAUAUCUGAAAUUCAGGCAAUCUCACUAAGAUUAUUCAUAUGUUCUUUAUUUGCCUUCUCCCUAACAACAGAUAGUUUAUUUCUACUAGUUUAGACAAUUGGCAGUCAUCGACAUUUCCUGCAGCUAAGGUCCUUUUUGUCACCUUUUAGAUGUACCUUUUUAUACACAAAAACCUUUCUUGUUUCACUGAAUCCAGGCAAGACUUGAGAGUUUACUUUUUGCACUGAAUCCAAGCAAGACUUGAGAUUUUAGGGUUACUUGUUUGCAAAAUUUAAAAAUUCAGCUUCUCAAUAUUAGAUGAGAACUUAGCAUACCUUCAGUUAAGAUCCAUGUGUACUUUCUCCAACAUUUAAGAAUUCAGUCACAUCCCUUUGUAUUAAAUUUAUCCAGAGGUGUAGCAUCAUUAUGUGCUUGUACUGAUUUAAAAUGUUCCCUAUUUUUUUGACAUGCCACGGAUGAAGGAUCAUCAUCCGCCUGCAUCCCCAUUAGGAUCAGGGGAACGUUCCCCGUUUAAAGGUCUGACAAAUACGCAUACUCAUGUGAAUGCAAAUCAAGCGGGUGAAAAACUGCAAGAACAAAUACCAAAAAGUGGUCAAAAUUGGUUUGCACGAAUGUCUGAUGAGAAGAGAGCGGAAUACAACCAGAAGCGAUGUAUUGCCCGAGCACGAAGACACCUUCUCCACUACGAUCUACUCACAGCGCCUACGGUUCAGAGAUGUUUUAUGUGUCAUGUCGACAAGGGUGUUUGACGGGAAAUCUAGGAAGGCUGCAUAUGAGGUGAAUCAAGGAAGUUGGUAGAAUAUGCAGCCUUCAAAGCAGAUGUUUGUGAAUUUUAUGCCAGGAACCCAGCCCCUUCUCCCUUGCCUGCUCCAGCAAUGAUGGAGGCGAAGAGGAGGAGCGCCAAUAAGAUAGGUCGCUAUGAGCGUGUGAGGAGAAGUGGUAACGCUCUGCGCCCUCUGCUGGGGCGGCAGCGCCACCGUUGCCACGUGCCUCGGCUUCUCCAUCGGAUGGAAGGUUACAUCACCCCCCUUCUGCCACUCUUGUGUUCUUUGGUGAUUUCUAUGUAUUCAAUAUUAACCGUUCUCGGAUUUUGUUGUAUUUCUAAAAAGUUAUGAGAAGAAAUAAUUGAUUUGCGCUUAAUUACUGUAGUGGGGGAAGGGAUAUUCAGAAUUUGUGGUCAUCUUUGUAGAACAACAUCAGGGAUAAUUAAUGUGAAAAGGGGAUAUGAAUGGUUGUGGGUUCGGCCGGGGAGGCGGCGGCGGCGGGAAGAAGCGGCGCAUCGUCAGAUAGCAAUGACUACAGGAAGAAUACUGUUGCUCAGUUAGUAUGGAUUUCUUAUCACUUCCUUUUUCUUGUAGUCAAGUUAUGAAACCAUGCUUUGAUGAUAACUUCAUCCGUAAUACUCUGCCGCUGGUUUCAAGUCAUGAGCAGAUGGAGAUCAUCAGUGCAUCAUCUCUUACGCAACUGCUACUGUAAUCGAGUCCUUUGCAAGCGCUGGAGAGACUGAAAACUGUCCGACUCUUUCGGCUCAGUCAUUAUUACUCCCAUGGGUGGUUUUACGGCCACCGUCGAGCCUUCAAAUUAUGAAGAUAACAAGCAGCCCAAAUCCAAGAGGGAAACUAAUUCAGUUCUUCAAAGAUUGCUAUUUUUUGGUAUCUUUGUUCCAACUUUUCAUAGACACCACGUUCAUGUGGACAAUGUUUCUAUGCUCUUUGAAGUUCACCCAAGAAAAUAAGCAUUCUGGAAUGUUCAUCGGAUAUUUGAUUCCAUUUUUACUAUACAAUAGACUAAAUAGGCUACGCCCUUAUAUGAGCACUGGAGGUGUUCAUCCAGUCGAUUGCCAUUGAUUUGGGACAUUUUUUAUAUAGUUAUGAUUUCGUCAUGGUCUUCUUGAACUACACAUGGCAUCCUCAAAAGAUAAUUGAUGGGAUUGUACUUCUCGUUUUGUUC